GGUUGAUUAUGGCUCAGAUUGAACGCUAGCGGGAUGCCUUACACAUGCAAGUCGAACGGCAGCACGGACUUCGGUCUGGUGGCGAGUGGCGAACGGGUGAGUAAUGUAUCGGAACGUGCCUAGUAGCGGGGGAUAACUACGCGAAAGCGUAGCUAAUACCGCAUACGCCCUACGGGGGAAAGCAGGGGAUCGCAAGACCUUGCACUAUUAGAGCGGCCGAUAUCGGAUUAGCUAGUUGGUGGGGUAACGGCUCACCAAGGCGACGAUCCGUAGCUGGUUUGAGAGGACGACCAGCCACACUGGGACUGAGACACGGCCCAGACUCCUACGGGAGGCAGCAGUGGGGAAUUUUGGACAAUGGGGGAAACCCUGAUCCAGCCAUCCCGCGUGUGCGAUGAAGGCCUUCGGGUUGUAAAGCACUUUUGGCAGGAAAGAAACGUCAUGGGUUAAUACCCCGUGAAACUGACGGUACCUGCAGAAUAAGCACCGGCUAACUACGUGCCAGCAGCCGCGGUAAUACGUAGGGUGCAAGCGUUAAUCGGAAUUACUGGGCGUAAAGCGUGCGCAGGCGGUUCGGAAAGAAAGAUGUGAAAUCCCAGAGCUUAACUUUGGAACUGCAUUUUUAACUACCGAGCUAGAGUGUGUCAGAGGGAGGUGGAAUUCCGCGUGUAGCAGUGAAAUGCGUAGAUAUGCGGAGGAACCACCGAUGGCGAAGGCAGCCUCCCUGGGAUAAC
rnacentral:rRNA from 1 species